rnacentral:rRNA from 1 species
CAGUCGCCACGGGAACACGUAGGGUGCGAGCGUUAAUCGGAAUUACUGGGCGUAAAGCGUGCGCAGGCGGUUUUGUAAGACAGAGGUGAAAUCCCCGGGCUCAACCUGGGAACUGCCUUUGUGACUGCAAGGCUAGAGUACGGCAGAGGGGGAUGGAAUUCCGCGUGUAGCAGUGAAAUGCGUAGAUAUGCGGAGGAACACCGAUGGCGAAGGCAAUCCCCUGGGCCUGUACUGACGCUCAUGCACGAAAGCGUGGGGAGCAAACAGGAUUAGAUACCCGAGUAGUCCCUGUCUCUUAUAC